GACGAACGCUGGCGGCGUGCUUAACACAUGCAAGUCGAACGGAAAGGCCCUGCUUUUGUGGGGUGCUCGAGUGGCGAACGGGUGAGUAACACGCGAGUAUCCUGCCCUUGUCUUACGGAUAACUUCAGGAAACAGGGGCGAAUACCGGAUAGGAUCUCCUGCUGCAUGGGGGGGGUUGGUAAGUGUCGGCGGUGGGGGAUGGACUCGCGGCUUAUCAGCUUGUUGGUGGGGUAGUGGCGUAACAAGGCUGUGACGGGUAGCCGGCCUGAGAGGGUGAACGGCCACAUUGGGACUGAGAUACGGCCCAGACUCCUAAGGGAGGCAGCAGUGGCGAAUAUUGCACAAUGGGCCGAAGCCUGAUGCAGCAACGCCGCGUGAGGGAUGACGGCCUUCGGGUUGUAAACCGAUUUCGCCUGUUACGAAGCGUGAGUGACGGUAAUGGGUAAAGAAGCACCGGCUAACUACGUG
rnacentral:rRNA from 1 species